CUUCUUCCAGGGCCUAGUUCAUCCCCAGCAGUCCUGCUGGGCCAUCUCCUCCUGUGCCCCUCCUAUGCUCCAGCCUGGCCUUAGGCUUUCCCAAGGGUGCACAGUUAAAAGACCCAGCAGUUAACAGACCCAGGGCCAAAUUAAGAGGAGGAACGUGUCUAGGCACCUUCUUGGGCUAGGCCAGGCUGGGCCAAGAGGAGGCUGGCAUGACCCUGUCUCCCACCCGUGAUCCUCCCCAAAAUUUCCCUUACCAGCACUGCAACCAGCUCUCCUGGGCCCCCACAGUCAGCAUUCUCCCCACCACCGAGACAGAGGGGCCAUGGACCAGAGAGAGGCAGGGACCCGUCAAGGUCACACAGUGAGCCUGGGAUGGGAUUGUGUGUUCCUAGGGGAAUCUUAGAUAAGAGAAGACCAUUGCUGCCCCUGCCCAUACCAGGGGGCUUCCCGGACUCUGUACUGUCUGCCUGAGGGCCGAGGCACCUCCUCACCCGCCAGGUGGGGGAGGGAGGCCCGGAGGAUCGGGUUAAUGGAGCAGGAGCUUGAAACCGGAGCACGGUGAAGAGCCCGCGAAAUAGCUUUGUCAGCUGCCUCCCACUUGCCACUUUCCAAUUUUAGCUCCCCAUGGCCGGUGCGGGGUGUCCCCAGUGAGGCCUCCGUGAGCAGGGCCCGGGCUGGCUCCCAGCCUGAGACCUCUUCCGGCAGACCCCUGGACUGGGGCCCCCAUUGGACACAGCGGUGCCCCCGUCCCCAGGACCUGCCUACCUCAGGAGUAAGAACCCCACCACUCACCGAUCCUGGGUGCAAGCGGAGACCAGUCUGGGCCAGCCGUCCAGCUGGUGACCCCAUGAGGCUCAGAGAGAAGGGCUCAGAGCACAGGUUCAGCCAGCUGACUUGCACCGAGCCCAAGAUCUGCCUCGCUGCGGGGAUGCACUUCUCAGAGCCUCAGAGUCUCAUCUAUGCAGGACAAAGGCUGCCUUCCUCCAGAAGCCCUCCUUGAUGCCUGCUCUGCAUUCCCCUGGACUUACACUUCGGUCUCUACCACAAGUUUCUGGAAGGCAGCCAGGCCUGAAGCCUGCUCUGCAGGUUGAGCCCGAGUCUAGAUCAUCACUGCCUCUGAUACCCUCAUACCAUUGGGGCCCCCCUGCCUCCAGAGCCAGCAGCUCUCUACAUACAUACAGAAGCUCUGCCUCUGACCAGCAGCUCCCUACAUACAUACAGGGCAUCCAGGGUGGUCAGGGCCAGAGGCCACAGAAUGCUCAGAAAAAGAGAACAAAGACAACUGGUGGGAAUUUGGGCACAGUCCCAGCCUUGGAAAACCUGUACUGAAAAGGGCCUCAGAGGUGGCAUGGUUCUCAGGGAUGGUGUGGCCCAGGGAAAGUCACCUGGCAUCAGUAGACUUGGCUUUCACCCCCUGCUGUGUGGCCUCGGGUAAACCACCAACCUCUCUGAGCUGGUUUUCUCAUCUGUAAAAUGAGGAUAAUA